GGAUGGCUCAGUGGUUAAGAGCACUGACUGAUCUUCCAGAGAUCCUGAGUUCAAUUCUCAGCAACCA
rnacentral:tRNA from 2 species